UCAGGACGAACGCUGGCGGCGUGCCUAACACAUGCAAGUCGAGCGGGGACAUACGACGGAACCAAAGUUUCGGAUGGAGGUGAAGAUGUAUGUUCUAGCGGCGGACGGGUGAGUAACGCGUGAGCAACCUGUCCCUUACAGGGGGAUAACACAGCGAAAGUUGUACUAAUACCGCAUGAGACCACGGGGAGACAUCUUUCAGGGGUCAAAGGAGCAAUCCGGUAAGGGGUGGGCUCGCGUCCGAUUAGAUAGUUGGUGAGGUAACGGCCCACCAAGUCGACGAUCGGUAGCCGACCUGAGAGGGUGAUCGGCCACAUUGGGACUGAGACACGGCCCAAACUCCUACGGGAGGCAGCAGUGGGGAAUAUUGGGGCCAAUGGGGGGAACCCCGACCCAGCAACGCCGCGUGAGGGAAGAAGGUUUUCGGAUCGUAAACCUCUGUCCUUGGUGAAGAGUAAGAGACGGUAGCCAAGGAGGAAGCCCCGGCUAACUACGUGCCAGCCGCCGC
rnacentral:rRNA from 1 species